UACGAAGGGGGCUAGCGUUGUUCGGAAUUACUGGGCGUAAAGCGCACGUAGGCGGACUUGUAAGUCAGGGGUGAAAUCCCGGGGCUCAACCCCGGAACUGCUUUUGAUACUGCAAGUCUAGAGGUCGAGAGAGGUGAGUGGAAUUCCGAGUGUAGAGGUGAAAUUCGUAGAUAUUCGGAGGAACACCAGUGGCGAAGGCGGCUCACUGGCUCGAUACUGACGCUGAGGUGCGAAAGCGUUGGGAGCAAACAGG
rnacentral:rRNA from 1 species